UACGUAGGAGGCAAGCGUUGUCCGGAAUUAUUGGGCGUAAAGAGCGCGCAGGCGGCACCUCAAGUACCGUGUGAAAUCCACCUGCUCAACGGGUGGGGUGCAGGGUAGACUGAGGAGCUAGAGGUUGGUAGAGGGGGGUAGAAUUGCUGGUGUAGCGGUGAAAUGCGUAGAGAUCAGCAGGAAUACCCGUGGCGAAGGCGGCCCCCUGGGCCACACCUGACGCCGAGGCGCGAAGGCUGGGGGAGCGAACGGG
rnacentral:rRNA from 1 species